rnacentral:rRNA from 1 species
UACGGAGGGUGCAAGCGUUAUCCGGAUUCACUGGGUUUAAAGGGUGCGUAGGAGGGCAGGUAAGUCAGUGGUGAAAUCCCCGAGCUUAACUUGGGAACUGCCAUUGAUACUAUCAAUCUUGAAUACCGUGGAGGUCAGCGGAAUAUGUCAUGUAGCGGUGAAAUGCUUAGAUAUGACAUAGAACACCAAUUGCGAAGGCAGCUGGCUACACGAAUAUUGACACUGAGGCACGAAAGCGUGGGGAUCAAACAGG